AACGUAGGUACCGAGCGUUAUCCGGAUUUACUGGGCGUAAAGCGCGUUCAGGCGGUUUGGCAAGUCGGGCAUGAAAUCUCUCGGCUCAACCGGGAGAGGUUGUCCGAUACUGCUGGACUUGAGGGCAGUAGAGGGUGGUGGAAUUCCGGGUGUAGUGGUGAAAUGCGUAGAUAUCCGGAGGAACACCAGUGGCGAAAGCGGCCACCUGGACUGCACCUGACGCUAACACGCGAAAGCUAGGGGAGCGAACGGG
rnacentral:rRNA from 1 species